GACGAACGCUGGCGGCGUGCCUAAUACAUGCAAGUAGAACGCUGAAGUGAGGAGCUUGCUCUUCUUGGAUGAGUGGCGAACGGGUGAGUAACGCGUAGGUAACCUGCCUGGUAGCGGGGGAUAACUAUGGGAAACGAUAGCUAAUACCGCAUAAAAUUUAUUAUUGCAUGAUUAUUUAUUGAAAGAUGCAAUUGCAGUACUACCAGAUGGACCUGCGUUGGAUUAGGCAGUUGGGUAGGUAACGGCUCACCAAGGCGAAGGUACAUAGCCGACCUGGGAGGGUGAUCGGCCAAACUGGGACUGGGACAACGCCCAGACUCCUUCGGGGGGCAGCAGUAGGGAAUCUUUGGGAAUAGGGGGAAAGCCGACCGAGCAAAGCCGCGUGAGUGAAGAAGGGUUUCGGAUCGUAAAGAUCUGUUGUAAGAGAAGAACGGAUGUGAGAGUGGAAAGUUCACACUGUGACGGUACCUUACCAGAAAGGGACGGCUAACUACGUG
rnacentral:rRNA from 1 species